AGCUUCACAAUCCACCUCAGCUUCCCAGUCACCCUCAGCUUCCCAGGCCCCCUCAGCUUCCCAGGCCCCCUCAGCUUCCCAGGCCCACUCCACUUUCCACUCCCCUUCUCAGCCAACCUCUCCUUCUCUUUCUGUGACCCCUUCUCCUCCUUCCCAUACCCCUUCUCCUUCUACUUCCAACUCACCUUCUCAGCCCCCCUCACCCUCUAUUGGCCUAACAUUUUCACCGCCCCCCUCGCCCUCUCAAUCAGACCCACCCUCUGAAAUUACAUCCCCAAUCCAACCUCCUUCCCCCAUCCAGCCUCCUUCCCCCAUCCAGCCUCCUUCCCCAAUCCCUCCUCCUUCCCCCAUCCAGCCGCCUUCCCCCAUCCAGCCGCCAUCCCCACCCAGUGAAUGGGCAGAGGAAGCCCCUGAAGACAGUUCAGGGAGUCUUCAUGUUGCCGAGGAAAAUGUUGCAGUUGGAGAUCCUACAAGUUUUGGAGGCAUUCUUUACACCAUGCGCCAACACCUGCAAGGAUUAAUGCAUUGUGUUGAAAAUUUGCAAAAAUUUGCAUGAUUUUGUUUAUUUUAAGAAAAAAAAAAUGAUUUAUUUUAAAAAAUAAAAUAAAAAAAGUUGAUUAAAGUUAA